AGACCUGAGUGACAACCACUUGGAGGAGCUACCAUCUGACUUGCUUGCCAACCUCAGCAUUCUCCAAGAACUGAGAUUGAACGAGAACAGGUUGCGAUACCUUCCUCCGAACGUAUUUGAUCGAAAUCCUCAGCUGAAGAUCCUACAAUUGAUCAACAAUAGUCUGGGUAACCUGCCGAAUAGCCUGUUUUCUAAUCUCGGAAAUCUCAC